rnacentral:rRNA from 1 species
GGCGGCCGUAACUAUAACGGUCCUAAGGUAGCGAAAUUCCUUGUCGGGUAAGUUCCGACCUGCACGAAUGGCGUAAUGAUGGCCAGGCUGUCUCCACCCGAGACUCAGUGAAAUUGAACUCGCUGUGAAGAUGCAGUGUACCCGCGGCAAGACGGAAAGACCCCGUGAACCUUUACUAUAGCUUGACACUGAACAUUGAGCCUUGAUGUGUAGGAUAGGUGGGAGGCUUAGAAGUGUGGACGCCAGUCUGCAUGGAGCCGACCUUGAAAUACCACCCUUUAAUGUUUGAUGUUCUAACGUUGACCCGUAAUCCGGGUUGCGGACAGUGUCUGGUGGGUAGUUUGACUGGGGCGGUCUCCUCCUAAAGAGUAACGGAGGAGCACGAAGGUUGGCUAAUCCUGGUCGGACAUCAGGAGGUUAGUGCAAUGGCAUAAGCCAGCUUGACUGCGAGCGUGACGGCGCGAGCAGGUGCGAAAGCAGGUCAUAGUGAUCCGGUGGUUCUGAAUGGAAGGGCCAUCGCUCAACGGAUAAAAGGUACUCCGGGGAUAACAGGCUGAUACCGCCCAAGAGUUCAUAUCGACGGCGGUGUUUGGCACCUCGAUGUCGGCUCAUCACAUCCUGGGGCUGAAGUAGGUCCCAAGGGUAUGGCUGUUCGCCAUUUAAAGUGGUACGCGAGCUGGGUUUAGAACGUCGUGAGACAGUUCGGUCCCUAUCUGCCGUGGGCGCUGGAGAACUGAGGGGGGCUGCUCCUAGUACGAGAGGACCGGAGUGGACGCAUCACUGGUGUUCGGGUUGUCAUGCCAAUGGCACUGCCCGGUAGCUAAAUGCGGAAGAGAUAAGUGCUGAAAGCAUCUAAGCACGAAACUUGCCCCGAGAUGAGUUCUCCCUGACCCUUUAAGGGUCCUGAAGGAACGUUGAAGACGACGACGUUGAUAGGCCGGGUGUGUAAGCGCAGCGAUGCGUUGAGCUAACCGGUACUAAUGAACCGUGAGG